rnacentral:lncRNA from 1 species
AGCUCCCAGGAUUCUCAAGUGGUAUAAGAGUGCUUUAAAUGUGUGAUGUGGCUGAGACCUCUGUGCUUAAGGAAAAUCAUUGCAACUAGAUCAGCUGAUAUCCACAGUCAUUCAAGCACAACAAAGCUCAGAAUGAGAUCAGGCUUGCAAAAGAGGCUAAGAACAACAACAACGGUUUCUUUAGCUAAGAGGAAGAACAAGCAAGUGGUAGGUCCUCUGCUUGGAGAAAAUGGAGAAAUGUUUUUGGGUGACAGAGAGAAGGUGGAACUACUCAACACCUACUUUGCUUCUGUCUUCACCCAAAAGGAAAGCAAUGCCUAACCGGGUGGUAACAGAAUAAAUGAUGGAAAGAGGGAGCUGCAGACCAAAAUAGGAAAAAGAGGUAGAAAGGGAACACCUAGCUACUUUAAAUGAAUUAAAAUCUCCAGGACCUGAUGAACUGUAUCCAAGGAUUUUAAAGGAGUUUGCAGAUGUAAUUUCAGAGCCUUUGUCUAAGAUCUUUGAAAAUUCUUUGAGAACAGGUGAGGUCCCUGCUGACUGGAGGUGGGCAAAUGUUGUCCCCAUCUUCAAAAAGGGGGAAAGGGAAGACCCAAGUAACUACUGACCAGUGAGCUUGACAUUGAUACCAGGAAAGGUCCUAGAACAGAUAAUUCAAUAUUACUAAGACCAGCAUGGGUUUCCAAAAAACAAGUCUUGCGUGGCGAGUUCCCGCCCCCCACCAGGAUAAAUAAAGACACGAGACACCAUAAUUUAAGGUUACAUGGGCAAAUUAGGCCACAACUUUAUUGAAUUCAGGAAUGAGAGGCAUUGGCUUAGGCAUUGGUCCUAUCGACUAUCCGGCUCCAGCCCAUUUGCUGGAGACACGGGAAGGGUUAACACCAUAGAGGGGGAGUCUCCUGCUGAGGCACGUCAACUAGGAGCUCCCCCGGUCACCGCUCUGGGGCGUGCCUUUGGCCCACACCUCCAUAGGCUUCGGACAGGGCCACGCCCCCCGGAGUCCUUUAUCGGACCACCCUUCAUUCUCUGGGGGGAGGUGAUGGCGUUCCUCCCCCCCCCCACAUCCUCUAAUCCCCUUCUUACCAAUGCCUAACCGCCAAUGCCGAGGAGUUGUGACGAGUUGCUACGAGGUAGGCGAAAAACCAAAUGGCUGUAAAUUGCCAAUUGGGGAAAAUUCCUACCAUGCCCCUUGCGGCGACAGACCGAAGUCCAUAGCAAAGUCAGAGACCUACCUAAAGCCUACCUAAAGGGAGGAAGGGUGGGAAAACGUGGGGGCUAGCCGGCGAAAAGAGGGCGAGCCCCCUCUGCGCCGGCCCUAAAUAGGGCAGGCCACGCCCCCCCAGCCAGCCGAUUGGCUGACUGAGGGGAAGACGCGCUGGGAUUCCCCUGUUCUCGCUGGGGCUGAACCAGCCCCCGCUCACAUGGGGGUGGGCGUGAAGCCCGCAACCCCACCUCCUGGGCAGGCCGGAAGUGGCUAUGUCAAAUGAAUCUCAUUUCUUUUUUUGAUGGAGUUACCAGCUGGGUGGAUCAGAGGAAUGCUGUGGACAUAGUGUACCUUGAUUUCAGUAAGGCUUUUGACGAAGUCCGCCAUGAUAUUCUUGUGAGGAAGCUGGUAAAAUGUGGGUUGAAAGAGGUAACGGUUAGGUGAAUUUGUAGCUGACCAAACCCAAAGAGUACUCAUUAAUGGUUCCUUGUCAUCCUGGAAAAAAAUGACAAGUGGGGUGCCAUAGGGUUCUGUCCUGGGCCUGUUGUUCUUCAACAUCUUUAUAAAUGACUUGGAUGAAGGAAUUGAUCAACUCUGCAGAUGACACCAAUCUGGGAGGGGUGGCUAAUGCUGCAGAAGACAGAAUCAGAAUUCAAAAUGACCUUAACAGAUUAGAGAACUGGGCUCAGGCUAACAAAAUGAAUUUCAGUAGGGGCAAAUGUAAGGUUCUGCACUUAGGCAGGAAGAACCAGAUGCAUAAAUACAGUGGUACCUCGGGUUAAAAACUUAAUUCGUUCUGGAGGUCUGUUCUUAACCUGAAACUGUUCUUAACCUGAGGUACCACUUUAGCUAAUGGGGCCUCCCACUGCCGCCACUGUGCAAUUUCUGUACUCAUCCUGAAGCAAAGUUCUUAACCCGAGGUACUAUUUCUGGGUUAGCAGAGUCUGUAACCUGAAGCGUCUGUAACCUGAAGCUUCUGUAACCCGAGAUACCACUAUAUAAGAUGAGGAACACCUGGCUUACUAGCAGUAUAUGUGAAAGAGAUCUAGGGGUCUUGGUGGACCACAAAGAUUAACCUGAGUGAACAGUGCUAUUCAGCAGCAAAAAACAGCUAAUACUAUUCUAGGCUGCAUCAACAGAAGUCUAGUGUUAAGAUCCCACUCUUCUGCCUUGGUCAGACCACACCUGGAAUACUGUGUACUAUUCUGGGCACCACAAUAUAAGGAUAUUGACAGAGGGCAACCAAGAUGAUCAUUGGUCUAGAAACCAAGCCUUUUGAGGAACGGUAGAAGGAGCUGGGCAUGUUUAGCCUGGAAAAGAAGAGACUGGGAGGAGAUAUGACAGCCAUCUUCAAAUACCUCAAGGGCUAUCACAUGGAAGAUGGAGCAAAUUUGUUUUCUCCUGCUCUGGCAGGCAGGACUCGAACCAAUAGCUUCAAGUUACAGGAAAAAAGAUUCCGAUUAAACAUCAGGAAAAACCUUCUGACAGUAGGAGCUGUUCAACAGUGGAAUGGUCUCCCAUGGAAGGUUGUGAACUCUCUUUCCUUGGAGGUUUUUAAGCAGAGGUUGGAGGGCCAUCUGUCAUGGAUGCUUUAGCAGAGAUUCUUGCAUUGCAGGAGGGUGGACUAAAUGACUCUUGGGGUCCCUUCCAACUCUGUAAUCCUAUGAUUCUAUUUUAUAUUUUAAGGUGUUCAAAGGACAGAGGCAGGUCCAUUUCCUCUCUUUUGUCCAUUUUAAUACCACCUGACAUUGUGCAAAGUUUACUUUGUUCGUUAGGACCUGAGAUCUUGCAAAGCUUAUCUUUUGGGUUUUACAGUGUCAUCCUCGAUGGGGGUUGGACUCGAUGGCCGUUGUGGUCUCUUCCAACUCUAUGAUUCUGUGAUCCUUCACAGAAGGAAGAAAUCCACCUGGAUCCUUCCCAGGUGAAGUUGUAUGGGACUGCAGCCUUAAUCACCAGUGCCUUAUAAUGCAAUCCUAACCAUGGUUACUCAGAAGAAAGAACAGGGAACCAACCCUUUCUCAAACCACUUUCAACUUUCUUUCAAUAACAAACUAUGGUCUAUCUUCAUCCACAGAUAAAAACAUCUCACUUUAUCCAUCGAUGGCAAGAC